rnacentral:rRNA from 1 species
CCUACGGGAGGCAGCAGUGGGGGAUAUUGCACAAUGGGGGGAACCCUGAUGCAGCGACGCCGCGUGGGUGAAGGAGCGUUUCGGCGCGUAAAGCCCUAUCGGCAGGGAAGAAGGAGGACGGUACCUGACUACGAAGCCCCGGCUAACUACGUGCCAGCAGCCGCGGUAAUACGUAGGGGGCAAGCGUUAUCCGGAUUUACUGGGGGUAAAGGGGGCGCAGACGGCAGCGCAAGCCAGGAGUGAAAGCCCGGGGCCCAACCCCGGGACUGCUCUUGGAACUGCGCGGCUGGAGUGCAGGAGGGGCAGGCGGAAUGCGUGGUGUAGCGGUGAAAUGCGUAGAUAUCAGGAGGAACACCGGUGGCGAAGGCGGCCUGCUGGACUGCGACUGACGUUGAGGCCCGAAAGCGUGGGGAGCGAACAGGAUUAGAUACCCCGGUAGUC